rnacentral:rRNA from 1 species
UACGAAGGGGACUAGCGUUGUUCGGAAUCACUGGGCGUAAAGCGCACGUAGGCGGUUCGUUAAGUCGGAUGUGAAAGCCCUCGGCUCAACUGAGGAAGUGCACCCGAAACUGGCGAGCUUGAGUACGAAAGAGGAUCGCGGAAUUCCCGGUGUAGAGGUGAAAUUCGUAGAUAUCGGGAGGAACACCGGUGGCGAAGGCGGCGAUCUGGGUCGAUACUGACGCUGAGGUGCGAAAGCGUGGGGAGCAAACAGG